GACGAACGCUGGCGGCGUGCUUAACACAUGCAAGUCGAACGGAAAGGCCCUGCUUUUGUGGGGUGCUCGAGUGGCGAACGGGUGAGUAACACGUGAGUAACCUGCCCUUGACUUUGGGAUAACUUCAGGAAACUGGGGCUAAUACCGGAUAGGAGCUCCUGCUGCAUGGUGGGGGUUGGAAAGUUUCGGCGGUUGGGGAUGGACUCGCGGCUUAUCAGCUUAUUGGUGGGGUAGUGGCUUACCAAGGCUUUGACGGGUAGCCGGCCUGAGAGGGUGACCGGCCACAUUGGGACUGAGAUACGGCCCAGACUCCUACGGGAGGCAGCAGUGGGGAAUAUUGCACAAUGGGCGGAAGCCUGAUGCAGCAACGCCGCGUGCGGGAUGACGGCCUUCGGGUUGUAAACCGCUUUCGCCCGUGACGAAGCGUGAGUGACGGUAAUGGGUAAAGAAGCACCGGCUAACUACGUG
rnacentral:rRNA from 1 species